CUGGGUGUGGGAGGAUUAAGAUAUUUGGGCAUGAAGAAUCCCAAAUCCAACAUUCACUUUUCCUCUUUGAAAAGGUUAUCCCCCAAUUGGAGGAGGUUUCAUUUACUGGUGGUUGUAUUAAGAUGAUAAGUGAUGGCCACUAUGAGUCCGACUUAUUCUGCAAUAUAAAAUUUAUUCGGAUUUCUGUCUACUUUGAUGUAUCAGUUGUUUUCCUCGUUUCUGUCCUUAGAAGGUUUUAAAAUUUGGACAGUCUUGAGCUAGGUUGUUGCAGUUUCAAAGAGCUAACUUCUUUCGAAAAUGAUGCAUGUGAAGAUAAAGACAUGAUCAUCACGAUUCCAAAAGUCAAGAACUUAAGAUUGGAUGUGGUUAAUAACAUAAGACAUCUAUGGAAUCAAGACUCCUCGCUUGUGUUGAGCAUUGGCCUGCAAUGCAACAUGUGGCCAGCAACUUUGCAAACAGACCAGCAUUGGAGCAGAACCAAGUAUAGCAGCAAGAUUUGCAGCAAGAUCUGUUCAUUUUGAUUAUUUUGUUUCAAUGUAACUUAGUUUAGUUACUUUGUAACUUGUUGUCAAAGUUAGUAGGAUUUGUCUCUGAUUUGAAGUUGAUGUAGUAGCUGAUAUGUCAGCUUACUUGUUUUGUAAUUCAAAUUUGUAUUAGUAAAUUAGUGGGAGUAGUUAAAUCAUUAGGUAAUAGUCAUUUGACUUGAAAAACUUUGUAUUUAGUCUUCAUUAUCAAUGAAUGAAGUGUGCUGCUGAUUAUUCA